ensembl:lncRNA
CAGUACGCAUGCGCGAGCCUGGAGACGGUAGUACGCAUGCGCCACAGCAUAGACAGCAGUACGCAUGCGCGAGUUUCGAGACGGCAGUACGCAUGCGCGAGUCGCGAGACGUUAGUACGCAUGCGCGGCCACCGAGAUGGCAGUACGCAUGCGCGACUUUCGAGACGGCAGUACGCAUGCGCGUGCCUGGAGAUGGUAGUACGCAUGCGCGAGGUUCGAGACGGCAGUACGCAUGCACAACAUUCUGGACGGCAGUACGCAUGCGGGAGACGCGAGCCGGUAGUACACAUGCGCGAGGCUCGAGACGGCAGUGGCAGCAGAUACCGUGGAAACAACAACUCUGCCGCCUUUUAGCGGACUGCCUGGGACCGUGGGCGCGCAUCCCCUCCUCUCUUUUUUUUCUUGGCAGAGGAUGGUGGGAGGAAGAAGGGGAGACGACAAAGAAAAGCAAGGAAAACUUCGACAAACCCUCCAACCCCGUGCUAAAUGCUUUGGUAUACC